CGGAGGGUGCAAGCGUUAUCCGGAUUCACUGGGUUUAAAGGGUGCGUAGGUGGGUUGGUAAGUCAGUGGUGAAAUCUCCAGGCUUAACUUGGAAACUGCCAUUGAUACUAUCAGUCUUGAAUACCGUGGAGGUCAGCGGAAUAUGUCAUGUAGCGGUGAAAUGCUUAGAUAUGACAUAGAACACCAAUUGCGAAGGCAGCUGGCUACACGAAUAUUGACACUGAGGCACGAAAGCGUGGGGAUCAAACAGGAUUAGAUACCCUGGUAGUCCACGCCCUAAACGAUGGAUACUCGACAUACGCGAUACACAGUGUGUGUCUGAGCGAAAGCAUUAAGUAUCCCACCUGGGAAGUACGAUCGCAAGAUUG
rnacentral:rRNA from 1 species